AUUGAACGCUGGCGGCAGGCUUAACACAUGCAAGUCGAACGAGUGGCGGACGGGUGAGUAAUGCUUGGGAAUCUGGCUUAUGGAGGGGGAUAACUACGGGAAACUGUAGCUAAUACCGCGUACCAUAGGAUGAGCCCAAGUGGGAUUAGGUAGUUGGUGAGGUAAAGGCUCACCAAGCCGACGAUCCCUAGCUGGUCUGAGAGGAUGACCAGGCACACUGUGACGGAGCCACGGCCCCGACUCCUACGGGAGGCAGCAGUGGGGUAUCUUGCGCAAUGGGAGCAGCCUGACGCAGCCAUGCCGCGUGUAUGAAGAAGGCCUUCGGGUUGUAAAUUUCUUUCGCUAGCGAGGCGUUAACUCCAGAAGAAGCACCGGCUAACUCCGUGCCAGCCGCCGCGGUAAUUC
rnacentral:rRNA from 1 species